GCUAAACGCGAAGAACCUUACCAAGGCUUGACAUACACCGGAAACGGCCAGAGAUGGUCGCCCCGCAAGGUCGGUGUACAGGUGGUGCAUGGUUGUCGUCAGCUCGUGUCGUGAGAUGUUGGGUUAAGUCCCGCAACGAGCGCAACCCUCGUUCUAUGUUGCCAGCACGUAAUGGUGGGAACUCAUGGGAUACUGCCGGGGUCAACUCGGAGGAAGGUGGGGAUGACGUCAAAUCAUCAUGCCCCUUAUGUCUUGGGCUUCACGCAUGCUACAAUGGCCGGUACAAAGGGCUGCAAUACCGUGAGGUGGAGCGAAUCCCAAAAAGCCGGUCCCAGUUCGGAUUGAGGUCUGCAACUCGACCUCAUGAAGUCGGAGUCGCUAGUAAUCGCAGAUCAGCAACGCUGCGGUGAAUACGUUCCCGGGUCUUGACACACCG
rnacentral:rRNA from 1 species